CAAUUAGCACUCUCUUUCCAGGGCUAUGUGUGGGGGUUGAGUGAGGUAAUUCAUGUAAAGCAUGAGAUCUGGAACAUGGUAAAUAUUUAGCACAUACUCGGCGUUUUUGAGAUUAUGAAUAGAAUCUUUAGACUAGAUUUCAUAUAAAAAGACUUCAGAUAUUUCUUUUUAAAAUUAUGUUUCAGAAAAUAAACAUAUGGAGGAAAGAUAACAUAAAAUUGUACAAAAAGGAAGGAGUUCAUUGAAGAAAACAAUCAUUUGCAAAAAGCUUGGCCCCCACCUGGAGACAGGUACAACAGAUAAAGCUCCCCAGAUCAACUGUCUCAGAGGUAUCAAAACUCACCAAUUCUAUAUUUAGGCAUCCUUAUGUUCCUGCUGCCAGAGUUGCCCAUAGAUACAAACAUUUCAGGGCACACAGCAGCAGUUUUCAGAAAGAUUUCCCUUUUAGGAGAGGGAGACGCUACAAAGCUUAAUCGGUUCUAAGUGAUUCUCAAAUAUUGUAUCAAUUUACAGCAGAAAGGUCACUGUGAAUAAACAUGAGGAUUCUGUUCAGUGUCUGGGAUUUAGCAGACUAACUCCCACUAAUGUUCAUGGGGCCAUGCUGCCAAAUCCCCAACCAUCACCCUGCAUAUUUGCUCCAAUCCCUAACUUUUGAGAUUGAAAUGUCUUUUCCAAAUCAAAGCUGAUCCUGAAACAGGCCCAAUGAGCCUCUGUAUGGUUAGACAGGGACAGUGUGGCUGAAGCCUGGGGACAUGGCAGUGCUCAAAGAAAUGGUAUUAAGAGGGUUUGUUGGAGCCAGGCAUGGUGGUGCAUGCCGGUAGUCCCAGCUACCUUAGAAGCUGAAGUGGGAGAUCGCUUGAGCGAUCUUGAGGUUUUGAGGUUGCAGUGAGCCACAGUCAUGCUACUGCACUCCAGCCUGGACAACACAGCAAGAUACUGUCGAAAAAAAAAAAAGUCUUUGUUGAAAGACAUGUCUUCACAUUGUCUACCCAAUUCAGCUCAGCUUCCUUUGCCUGAUGUGCAACACAGUCCAUUCCCCAAACUCACCUCCCAUGACUUCUCCCUGUGAGCUCCAGACAAAACAAGAUUCCCCAGUUCUCAGCCAGAGGCGAAUGUUUAUGUUUUUUCCUACCCACUUCUCUCUUCUUUGGGGGAACCCACCUCAAUACUACCUUGUUGGUGAAGUUUUUUGAUACCAACCUGGGAUCAUCAUUGUUUCCAAACACUGCAGAUUCUGAGCUCCAUGAGAUAAGCUCACAUCUCUCCAGCCUCCCUCAUGGGCCCAGGAGUAUUGGCUCGGCUCCUUCUAGAACAGCUCACAUUUUUUGGACAGCUUCUCCAACCUACUCCACCCACAUCUAUCUGCUCUGAAUCUAACCUAGGACUCCAUGUCUCAGUCAGGUUCAAGAUGAAGUGGCUCCUGCUGCAGACCCUGAUCAACACCCAGACUUUUCAUAUUCAGAAAAUCAAAACCAGGUCACAGCUUCCAGGAGUCUAUCCAGCUUCUGCUGAUCUGCUCAGAGGACUGACUGGCCCACAACAUCUGCUCCCAGGUCAGACCAGGGUGUCCACAAGGCAAGGUCCAGGAUACCCAGCCGCUGUCCACCACAAUGUGAUGGGAUGACACAGGUGCCUCCUCCUCUAUCCACUCCAGGUUCUACCUGUGGUCAGCCCGUCUUGCCACCAUGAAAGUCUCAUCCAUGGCCACUGCUCUCACUGCUCAAGCCCUGAAAAUUGUGGGCAGUCUUCCAUCCACAGCUUCUCAUUACUAAUAUUCUCAUCACUAAUGAUUUAAACAAGGGCAGCUCCGCCAUGACAGCCUCCCAC
rnacentral:lncRNA from 1 species